rnacentral:rRNA from 1 species
UGCGUCGUAGUCCGGAUUGGAGUCUGCAACUCGACUCCAUGAAGUCGGAAUCGCUAGUAAUCGUGGAUCAGAAUGCCACGGUGAAUACGUUCCCGGGCCUUGUACACACCGCCCGUCACACCAUGGGUAUAAUUAUGCCUGUACAUAUACGGCCCGGAGCCAUUCCUGGUUAAGUGCGCCGGUAAACAGCCAGAGGCACGUCCGGCAACCUGUUUU